UGGUUCUCUCCGAAAUAGCUUUAGGGCUAGCCUCAAGUGAUGAUUAUUGGAGGUAGAGCACUGUUUGGACGAGGGGCCCCUCUCGGGUUACCGAAUUCAGACAAACUCCGAAUGCCAAUUAAUUUAACUUGGGAGUCAGAACAUGGGUGAUAAGGUCCGUGUUCGAAAGGGAAACAGCCCAGACCACCAGCUAAGGUCCCAAAAUAUAUGUUAAGUGGAAAAGGAUGUGGCGUUGCCCAGACAACUAGGAUGUUGGCUUAGAAGCAGCCAUCAUUUAAAGAGUGCGUAAUAGCUCACUAGUCGAGUGACACUGCGCCGAAAAUGUACCGGGGCUAAACAUAUUACCGAAGCUGUGGAUUGUCCUUUGGACAAUGGUAGGAGAGCGUUCUAAGGGCGUUGAAGCAUGAUCGUAAGGACAUGUGGAGCGCUUAGAAGUGAGAAUGCCGGUGUGAGUAGCGAAAGACGGGUGAGAAUCCCGUCCACCGAUUGACUAAGGUUUCCAGAGGAAGGCUCGUCCGCUCUGGGUUAGUCGGGUCCUAAGCUGAGGCCGACAGGCGUAGGCGAUGGAUAACAGGUUGAUAUUCCUGUACCACCUAUAAUCGUUUUAAUCGAUGGGGGGACGCAGUAGGAUAGGCGAAGCGUGCGAUUGGAUUGCACGUCUAAGCAGUAAGGCUGAGUAUUAGGCAAAUCCGGUACUCGUUAAGGCUGAGCUGUGAUGGGGAGAAGACAUUGAGUCUUCGAGUCGUUGAUUUCACACUGCCGAGAAAAGCCUCUAGAUAGAAAAUAGGUGCCCGUACCGCAAACCGACACAGGUAGUCAAGAUGAGAAUUCUAAGGUGAGCGAGCGAACUCUCGUUAAGGAACUCGGCAAAAUGACCCCGUAACUCGGGAGAAGGGGUGCUCUUUAGGGUUAACGCCCAGAAGAGCCGCAGUGAAUAGGCCCAAGCGACUGUUUAUCAAAAACACAGGUCUCUGCUAAACCGUAAGGUGAUGUAUAGGGGCUGACGCCUGCCCGGUGCUGGAAGGUUAAGAGGAGUGGUUAGCUUCUGCGAAGCUACGAAUCGAAGCCCCAGUAAACGGCGGCCGUAACUAUAACGGUCCUAAGGUAGCGAAAUUCCUUGUCGGGUAAGUUCCGACCCGCACGAAAGGCGUAACGAUUUGGGCACUGUCUCAACGAGAGACUCGGUGAAAUCAUAGUACCUGUGAAGAUGCAGGUUACCCGCGACAGGACGGAAAGACCCCGUGGAGCUUUACUGUAGCCUGAUAUUGAAAUUCGGCACAGCUUGUACAGGAUAGGUAGGAGCCUUUGAAACGUGAGCGCUAGCUUACGUGGAGGCGCUGGUGGGAUACUACCCUAGCUGUGUUGGCUUUCUAACCCGCACCACUUAUCGUGGUGGGAGACAGUGUCAGGCGGGCAGUUUGACUGGGGCGGUCGCCUCCUAAAAGGUAACGGAGGCGCUCAAAGGUUCCCUCAGAAUGGUUGGAAAUCAUUCAUAGAGUGUAAAGGCAUAAGGGAGCUUGACUGCGAGACCUACAAGUCGAGCAGGGUCGAAAGACGGACUUAGUGAUCCGGUGGUUCCGCAUGGAAGGGCCAUCGCUCAACGGAUAAAAGCUACCCCGGGGAUAACAGGCUUAUCUCCCCCAAGAGUUCACAUCGACGGGGAGGUUUGGCACCUCGAUGUCGGCUCAUCGCAUCCUGGGGCUGUAGUCGGUCCCAAGGGUUGGGCUGUUCGCCCAUUAAAGCGGUACGCGAGCUGGGUUCAGAACGUCGUGAGACAGUUCGGUCCCUAUCCGUCGUGGGCGUAGGAAAUUUGAGAGGAGCUGUCCUUAGUACGAGAGGACCGGGAUGGACAUACCUCUGGUGUACCAGUUGUCGUGCCAACGGCAUAGCUGGGUAGCUAUGUGUGGACGGGAUAAGUGCUGAAAGCAUCUAAGCAUGAAGCCCCCCUCAAGAUGAGAUUUCCCAACUUCGGUUAUAAGAUCCCUCAAAGAUGAUGAGGUUAAUAGGUUCGAGGUGGAAGCAUGGUGACAUGUGGAGCUGACGAAUACUAAUCGAUCGAAGACUUAAUCAAAA
rnacentral:rRNA from 1 species